UAUAAGUUUUUUCGUAUUCAUAUAUUUCAUCAAACUUGAAGGAGCUUCUAAAGCUAACACACAAUUUGUCAAUUUCAACUUAGUAUUUCGAUAAAAGGAACCAAACGUCACAAGAAAUGGUCUAAUACUUCAAUUUGAUGUGAAAUUGUAUGUCAAUUAUGUUGCCUAGGCAUAUUGGAUCACAAUUUCAUUCAAAAUAACCUCUUUGCAAUUAUCAAGGACAGGGUAGUACCUUCACAAUGUAUGGAUAAUUAAGGUUAUGUACAUCUAACUGCCCAUUUGCUACAUUAGGCAAAAAUGUUGCUAGAGAUAUUUCUGCGUAUAAUGAUAUCAUAUGGUAAGAUGGUACAUGUAUAUUCUUAUGCAUACUCGGAAAAUUCUUACUUAUUUCUACAUAUGCCCAAGUAACAUGAAUGUGAACUGUGGGUGCAUUGUGAUAUCUUAAGCGAUCUUACCAUAUUUUUUUUUUUUUUUUUGAUUGGGAAAUUAAGUCAGCCCAAGGGCUAACCCCUACCAAGGCUACUAGCCUUGUAGGAACUACCAGCACAUUGGCUGGUAAAGCAUACACAUCAUGCUAAGGAAAUACCCCAGCAUUAAAUGCUGGGGGUAAGGAUCGAACCCCUGACCUCAAGGAUCAGAGGGGAGUGCUCUACCACAUGAGCUAGCUCCUCAUCCUUUUUUUU